UGGCACGUGGCCGAGUGGUUAAAACCGUGACUGCAAAUCUGCUGAAGGUUUCCACGCAGGUUCGAAUCCUGCCUCUCCCA